rnacentral:misc_RNA from 1 species
GAUGAAGAACGCAGCGAAAUGCGAUACGUAAUGUGAAUUGCAAAUUCAGUGAAUCAUCGAGUCUUUGAACGCACAUUGCGCCCCCUGGUAUUCCGGGGGGCAUGCCUGUCCGAGCGUCAUUGCUGCCCUCAAGCACGGCUUGUGUGUUGGGCCCCGUCCUCCGAUCCCGGGGGACGGGCCCGAAAGGCAGCGGCGGCACCGCGUCCGGUCCUCGAGCGUAUGGGGCUUUGUCACCCGCUCUGUAGGCCCGGCCGGCGCUUGCCGAUCAACCCAAAUUUUUAUCCAGGUUGACCUCAGAUCAGGUAGGGAUACCCGCUGAACUUAAGCAUAUCAAUAAGCGGAGGA